rnacentral:rRNA from 1 species
UACAGAGGUCUCAAGCGUUGUUCGGAUUCAUUGGGCGUAAAGGGUGCGUAGGCGGCGCGGUAAGUCGGGUGUGAAAUCUCGGAGCUUAACUCCGAAACUGCAUUCGAUACUGCCGUGCUUGAGGACUGGAGAGGAGACUGGAAUUUACGGUGUAGCGGUGAAAUGCGUAGAUAUCGUAAGGAAGACCAGUGGCGAAGGCGGGGUCUCUGGACAGUUCCUGACGCUGAGGCACGAAGGCCCAGGGGGAGCAAAACGGGGA